UACGUAGGGGGCAAGCGUUGUCCGGAUUUAUUGGGCGUAAAGAGCGUGUAGGCGGCCAGAUAAGUCCGCUGUGAAAUCUCGAGGCUCAACUUCGAGCUGUCGGUGGAAACUGUCUGGCUAGAGUCCGGAAGAGGAGAAUGGAAUUCCUGGUGUAGCGGUGAAAUGCGUAGAUAUCCGGAGGAACACCGGUGGCGAAGGCGGCUUCCUGGACCGACACUGACGCUGAGGCGCGAAAGCUAGGGGAGCAAACGGG
rnacentral:rRNA from 1 species